UGAACAACCCAUUUAGGGUUCCAACAAAAUAAAGCACAACAGCAGACUCGCAGCCUCGUAGGUAUCAAACAAGAACAACAGCGCCUCCACCCUCACCCUCCUCCCUCCGGUUGUCCUCCUCCUUCUAGCGACCACCUCACCGUCCUCCCUGCAAUGUAAGGAACCAAGCAGAAGGUUUGUAAUAUUUAGCGAAACUGCAAUGGAAGGAACCAAGCAGAAGGUUGUGUUAUCGAUUCUGGUGGCGAAAAGCCGAGGAAUUUGGGGUAAAUCAGGGAAAAUUAGAAAGGGUCAGAUGGCUAAACCUAGGGUUCUUGCAAUCACCGGCAACGCAAGUGAGGCGUCGGGACGUCAAGCCGGUGCGGACACUCACAUGAAAGGAAAGCUCUAAGCUUUUAGGAUGAUGCAAGCAUGUGGAUGAUGAUCAAGUCAAUGCUAUCGAACCGAACACUAUCAAGAUCUUGUUCCACAACCUUUGUUGUUAUAUGUAGUUAAUCAAACUUGUGUAGUCAUGGGAAUACUUAUGUAUCUUAACGAUGUUUUUGAAUGUUGUUAAUUUAGUAACUACUAAGAUAAAUAUUCAUGUAAAUGUUUUGGCUUAACGCUUAUAAAGAUUAGUUCUAUCU